AAUGGCAGCAAUUUGUAACUUUCAGUAGCUCUCUAGGCCUAGGUGCCGCGGGAGAGAGGCACCCCCAGUCCAACCCUCAUUUGUCGGGGGGCGCCCGGUUCCGCAGGCGCUCCUUUCCCUUAACUUGCAGGCACCAGCGGGAUCCUUCGCCCACUCCUAUCUGGCCGCCACCGCCCCAGAGCGAGGAGGGCAGAGAGCAACCCUGACAGACAUCCAUCUCCCAGUCACCCCUUGCUACCAGCUAAGGCCAGCAGGGAAUGAGAGCCUGAGGACACUGGUAAAGUCUUUUUAUUCCCCAUUUCAUGUGCUGGCCAGAUGAACGCAAGGCUGAGUUUGACCAAGGCACUUGAGGAGAAAUCUCAAAGAAGAGCAAAGGAGCAACAUGAAAGGAACCUAAAUCCCCAGCUGCCAUACAGAGCAGAGUUGACUGUAUCCAAGAUUGCUUCCUUCCAAAAUGUUCUAUGAGAAAUAAAUCAUUUUCUAUUUG